CGAGGGAUCCAGUCAGUCGAAAAUUGUAAAUCAACUUGCAAAGAGAGUUACGCAAUUUUGUUAAUUAAAACUUUUUUAAAGUUCAUGAAUCUCCAGAAUGAAGGUCUUUAGUGUUGUGACGAUAUUUUCAACAAUCCUUUGGAUGAGUUUAUUGGGAAUGUGCCAGGACGUGCAAGUGCCUGACCUAGAAAUCCAUACUCCUCUUCACACAACAACACUUCCAUUGACAACCACUGUCACGGAAACAUCAUCAGAAAGUGAUUUGUCUGAACGAGAAACUGAAAAGCCAUUAAUCGAAAAUAGGCCACGGAUUUACUUCAAGAAAUGCGAUUACUUUAUAAGUGGCCGAAGAUCGUGCUACUCAUGCUGCAGAAUUACAUAUCUUCCAACAAUCAGAUGCUGCAGAACAAGGAAAUCGUUCUGUGCACGUAAAUACGGUUAUCAAUAUAUUUACGGAUAAGUAAUAUUGCAGAAGUGAAGUGAUUUAAAAGCAAAAUAAUAAAAACAAAGCAUACUAGCCCAGCAAAAUGCUUGAACUGCUGACUUUGAUGCAAAAAAAUUUGUUUAGCUUUAAUUGCUUAAUGGUUCAACCUAUUGCGUGUGUGCUCCCGAUUUCAAGUAUUUUGCAAAUUUAUUUCAAUUGCUUUUUAUUAUAAAUCUCCAAUACAAUGAAGUUAAAUUAAAGUUUAUUUUAAAAUUCUUGGACACUUUAUGGUUCAAGUGCUAAAGCACUCGCUCUAUGAUGCAAGUGUCCCGGGUCGAAUCCCCUUUAGAUCACCAGGAUUUUUUCUGGCGUUAAAGGUGUUCGUAUUGCAUCAAGUGAGCUUCACUGCACUUGAUUCUACGGGCAUGAAACUGACAACCUCAUCGCGUACAAGAAAAAAAAAUAAUAAUGCAUGUCUAGAAAUCCCCUUGUGGGAAGGCCUAGUUCCUUCAAGGAAUAAUGUGCCAGCAUUAUUAUUAUUAUUAUUAUUUUAAAAUUCUAUAGCUUUAAAAUCGAAGUAAAUACAACUGAUUUAUGCAGAUCAAAAUUAAUUAUUGGUUUAGUACAUUUAGAACCAAUGACAAAAUGACCCAUAUCCAAUGAUCCAAAAUUUGCUCCAGUUAAGAAAUAUGCUUCUGGAUUAUAUUUUGACUUUUACAAUGAAGAACCUUUAGAAAAGUUACCGGUCUUUAUAAUAUAUUAAUGAUAUAUCCGUCUGGACAAUAAACUUAAAACAAGUACCCUAGAUGCGGCUGACUUUGCAUCCGUACAUUUCGUAAGCUUUUCUUUAAAUCUACCACUUAAGAAUGGCCUUUUUAGACCAUCAGUAAAUGCCAUAAAUAAAAAAAAGAAAUUUAAGAAAAACAAGGGUGCAAAACAACUCGUAUCUACGAUACUAAAAAAUAAAAAUAAAAAGUAAUUGGAAAAUUUUGGAAAUUUUCUUGAGAUAAUUAAAGACAAUAAAAAAAGGUUUUAGAUGGAUAGAGGAACCGAAAUAAAGUACAAUUUAACCAAUUUAACACUAAACUAAUUUAUAGGGGUCACAUUUAUAGGGCUUCUACAUAGGCUAUCGGAUAAAUAAACAAUGGCCUCAAUUCUGAGAUCGAGAUCAAGAUCAAAAUUUCAAGCUGUCAAAUAUUUACAAGAUCAAGAUUUCAUAUUCUGACGCAAAGUAUUUAUGGAAUUUAAAAUGUCUUAGCUAAGAACCAAGAUUUCAAGAUUUUCUACACUUAACGAAACGUCACUUCUGACAAAUAUCUUCAUUUCUUUGUCGAAUUUGUUGAAAUUUCGCCAUAUAAAUUAGAAAAAUUAAUUAUAGGUUGUAUUAAAUAAUAUAUGACAGGCCAUAAUUGGGAAUAAAAGAAGUGCAAACAAAACUUGUAACGUGUGAUAAACCCUGCAAUGCUUAUGCAAGAUGUGAUUCUUUUGCAGGUAUUCUCAGAGCGUUGUACUUCGAAACGUACAUCUAGAAAUAUGUAUCAUUACGAUUAAAUUACAAGAUCAAACAUAGCAUUUUUCAGAGUAAUUCCCUUUUUGUAUUAUCUCUUAUAGAAAUAUUCCUCAUGAAAAAUAAUUUCCGCAUGAACCUCAAAUUGUUAGUAUCUUGAAAAUUUCAAGCACCUCCGAGAGGUUCUUGGAAUUAUUUCAAGAAAACAAGAAAUUUGACGUCUUGGUUCUAGAAUUGCAAGUCUUGAUAUCCACAAGGUUUGUGUCUUGGAUUUCAAGAUUUCAAGACAUUUGACACAUUUGACAUCUUGAUCUUGAUUUUUUGAUUUCAGAAUACCAAAAUCUUGAAAUUUUCUUGAUCUUGAUCUUGGUCUCAGAAUUGAGGCCAAUGUAACGAAAUUUUAUGCGAAACCAAUGAGAAAUGAACAUGGUUUUUAUUAUUACUUUCCUGUUCUCAAGUGCUUCUGCAUUAUCGACUUUUAUUUUUAUUUUUUUAUUAUACGCUAGUACUGCUCCAGUACUUAAAGCCAUCAAAAUGUGAUGACAAGAAGCAAGAGAAAGAAAAGUCGAUUAUGCAGAGGCACUUGAGAACAGUAAAAUACUAAAAAAGAAACAUAUACAUUUUUAAUUGGAAUACAAGCAUUACACUGUUUUUGAUUUUGUUAAAUAACUUAUGUAUAUGUAUAAUUAAGCUAGAAUUAAAUAAUAAAAAAGAACUAAACCAGCUAGGUAUGACUGAAAAAAAAUGAAAAACGUAAUUAAGAUUGAAAUGUAGAAGGAAUAUGAGAAUCCUACAUAAUUGGAAAUUUUAGAGGUUUUUCACAUUCUAAUGGACUAUUUACUUUUAAUAUCUUAUUUUAAGUCAAUUUUUUCUCAAAAUUGCUGCUUGAUAAGAAAUUAGAGAAUAUAAGUAAUAUGACUAUUUAUGUUAGAUCUGAAGCCCGUAUAAGGCAUGGUGCUGCAAAUGAUCAUACCAGCAGUUUCUUUAGUAAUAAAUAAGUGUUAAUUAUUAUUAAUUUUAAAAGAAAAUUGUAAAAAAAAAUAUAGAGAAGUUAAGAUCGAUAGAAGACUUAUUGGACAGGAAACUCUUUUGACAAUUUCAUUAAAAUAGGGUAAAGUGGUACAAGUUGGACAGUGGUACAAGUUGGACAAUGGUACAAUUUGGACAGGGAUUUUUGUCUUGAUAAAUUUAGUAUUUCAUUUUUAUUUGUAUAUUUUUAAUGCUUUAGUUUUAUAAUUUGGUUCAUUGUGCUUAAAAACAAAUUUUGUACUGUAUUUAUCAAGAAAAAAUCCAUGUCCAACUUGUACCGGCGAAUUGUCCAACUUAUAACAGUAAUUCCAAAUUAUAUCACUUUACCCUACUGAAAUUUAUUUAAUAAUACAUGUUUGACGUGUUUUAAAGGGAUCUGUUCAAAUUUCAUAUUAUUAAAUUGUACAGAAAGAAUGUCAAAAGGUCUAGGUGGGUAUUUCUUCCACCAUAUUUAAAAUAAAGUUACGAGUAUGAAUUAACCUAAGCUCAAACCAUAAUUUAAAGAGAUUUCUCACAAUUUAGAAAAUGAAUCCAAAAUUAUUUUUAUAAAAAAUCAAAAAUUCAUAAUGUCUUCAGUAAUUUUUUACCUGUUGUUUAUAUUAGGCAAUAAAAAAAUUUAUUUAACCAGAAAGAAAAUAUAUUUGUUUUUUUUUCUUGAUAUACAAAUUAUGAUAAUGUCUCUGGUCCUUGCCACAUUUUUUGCGUCAGGAAAAUUUCAUGAAAUCGAAAUUACGAUCCAUUUCUUUCGUAAUCGUAUUGCAAAUUUCUUUUUUAUUCUUUUGUAUUUAAAUCUAAAUUUAAUUUGGCGUGAAAAUCAGGGAAAUACUAUUCAGAAAAUUGUGUGGUUAUUAGUUUGACUAGCUAUAAUAGUUCUUGGACAUUGCAUUUUUGUAGCUUUUUUUAUGUAAAAAAAAUACCCACUUUUCCAAACAACCUUUUGGUUCGGAAGUGGUCUUUCUUCUUCUCUCAAUUCUGUUUGGUAUACAGUAGACUCUUGCAAAUUCGGCUCUUUUAAGAUCGGGGUACUUUUUAAUUCGGGCAGCGGUUACAUUUGAAAAAAGUUUGUUGUCAUUUUUCAAGUUUGAUUAUGAUUGUCAAAUGAAUCAAAUAUGCUCAAAUUUGGCAUGGUUUGUCUUAAUUUUGAUGCGAUUUUGCAUUAUUGAGGGAUUUUCAUGUAAUUUACGUUAUAUAUGAGUGUGUAAACUCAAUAUCUCUAUGCACAUGAAUAAAAAAUCGUUGCAUUUCAAAAACUUUGUCGCCCGAAUUUCUGUCUAAUCCGGUUGACAUUUAGGUCCUAUAUGACCGAAUUUGAGAGAGUCUACUGUAUUCCCAAAGUAAAUGUAACAAUGAUAUUGUAUACAGCCUGCGAAAGGACAUUUCCAUCGUUUAGUCGUGGAGGCUGGAAUCAACGAUAAGACGGCGAUGGACGCAUGGGAAGAGGGGUAGAUAGACGAAAUGAGAUGAAAAUAAGUUGAAUUGAAUUGAAUUUCAGUAAACAUUGAUAAUAAAUUGUAUAAACAACACUGAAUUAAUAUGCUCUGGAAAGGAAUUUGAUAUUUAGAAAAUCUAUGAAAAUCUACCGGCGAACAUAUUUUACCAGGAUUAGUAAAGAAAAAUAGAAUAGGAAAUGUAAACUACUGGUAUGUUUGAUUAAUUUCAAUUACUCCCUAAAUAUGAACGCCUAAUCCAUUAGGACAUAUUCAGCACUCAUUAAACGCCCAAUAUUCAAAUCUAAAUUCAUUUAGUAAUAAAUUGAAAUUCACCAAAAGGUAUGGCAAGGAGACAUAAGCAAUAAGAAUUUCAGUGACAAAUGAGUUUCAUAGUUCUUAAUUAAAUAUAUUUUCUUCAUGUCAAUCAAUAGCAAUCAAAUAGGUAGCUAUAUUACCAACUACCUGAUAUUUUCCCAGAUGAAAUAAUAUUUUCAAAAUCGAUUACUUGAUGAAAACCUCAGAAUUUUCUCUUUGGCUCUGUUCGUUAAUUAAUUUUGUUGUAUUUUGCAUACUUAACACAUUUGAGAUGAUUGAGUUAUAACACAUAAGAAAAUGAAUUUUAUUUUCAUAUUUCUCAUCUUUCAAUUUGAUUUUCUAUUCAAGUCUUCAUAUUUCUAUUAUGAAGAUGAAUUCUGCAAUCAUAAAAUCUAACAAGUCAAAAUUAUAUAAGUUUGUGUGACUUUUUAAAUUAAUCGUCUGAGCAUAACAGACCCUUUAAAUUUAAGCCUUUAUUUUAGUUCUAAAAUAGGUGAUUGUUUUUCAGAUAAUUGUUUUUUAUUGAAUUUAGUGUAACAUUUCCAAACAUUUCAUAAAUAUAUUCACCAAUUUUUGCCAGUAUAGUGACCUACUUAUGGUCAAUUUAUUGUAAACAUAGGGUAAGUCAACCAAUUUCCGGCCAGCUUGAAAUUCCGACCACCUUUUUGCUCCUCGAAUUUCCAUGAAUAUUUAGUUUUUGCAUACUAUAGAGAUUUACAAUGCAAAAUUAACAAAACGAUAAGAAAGGAAAUGAUGUGAAAAGGGCAUUGGAAAAAUUCCCGAAGGGCAAAGAAAGAGUGAAAGUGUCCGAAAUAGGCCACCAAGCUAUGUCUACAUUUUUAUUCAUUUUAAAAUGUAUUAAGAAUGAUUUUAGAGAAAAUGCAAACGAUAAACUGUCUACAAGAUUCCAAGUACCACUCCUGAAGAAGGAAUAAAACAUUCAAUUUAUAUUAAAAAUAUUGCAUUUCAAACUUGAGAUUUUGGCGCUUGCAUGCAACUGUGCCGAAAUUUGGCACACUUACCCUAAUAAAUUUAAAAAAAAGAUCAAAAGGUGCAAUUAAUCUUCAUAGAAACCCAAUUAUUUAUGUAAGGAUAUCAAAAUCAAACAAGAGGAUGUCUGAUUUCCUUCAAUUUUCAAUUAAAAUAUUAUUUUUAACAAG